rnacentral:lncRNA from 1 species
GGUGAAGAUUUCUGGAGAAGCCCAGUAAAGACUUUUCAGUGGAGAAAGUGGGUGCCACUUCACCACUACAAAGGACAUGGGGAGUGUCAUGAUAAUAACUACAAAAGGGUGGCAGAGAGCACUGUGAGAGUGUACUGGGGCAGAGUUUUGAGUGACUCCAGAUAACAUGUAAGAAAGCAUACUGUUUCCUUGGUGCUCAGGAAGGUUGAGAACAAGAGAUUUGAGAUAGACCAAGGAUAGUAGCUGGAAUGGUUUGUGAUUAGGUGAGAUAGGAUACUUGGGCAGAAAGAGAAUGCAACCAGGAGGAGAAGCCUUAUUUCUCUAGGAAUUAGGGGAGAGAAAGAUUGGACAGAAGAGAGCUGAGAUCUGGCAGUGGGCCUGAGGACCCAGAGCAGAAGAAACCCUAGGGAACACUUGGCACUUAACUAGGUCCCAGCACAUUAGUAUGUAUUUGAAACUUUGUCACAAUGAUAAAGCUGAAUCAGACUGAACCUGUGUCUAUGCUGUUGUGACCACCUGCUAGUGGUUUUUCUCUUGAC